rnacentral:rRNA from 1 species
CCUACGGGAGGCAGCAGUGGGGAAUAUUGGACAAUGGGCGCAAGCCUGAUCCAGCCAUACCGCGUGUGUGAAGAAGGCCUUUUGGUUGUAAAGCACUUUAAGCGAGGAGGAGGCUCUUGAGGAUAAUACCCUUGAUGAGUGGACGUUACUCGCAGAAUAAGCACCGGCUAACUCUGUGCCAGCAGCCGCGGUAAUACAGAGGGUGCGAGCGUUAAUCGGAAUUACUGGGCGUAAAGCGCGCGUAGGCGGCUUGUUAAGUCGGAUGUGAAAUCCCCGGGCUCAACCUGGGCACUGCAUUCGAUACUGGCAAGCUAGAGUAUGGGAGAGGAAGGUAGAAUUCCAGGUGUAGCGGUGAAAUGCGUAGAGAUCUGGAGGAAUACCGAUGGCGAAGGCAGCCUUCUGGCCUAAUACUGACGCUGAGGUGCGAAAGCAUGGGGANCAAACAGGAUUACGAUACCCUGGUAGUCCAUGCCGUAAACGNUGUACAACUGCCGUUGGGACCUUGAGUUCUUUAGUGGCGCAGCGACGACGAGUAGUUAGUACCGCCGNGGGUAGGUACGGUCGCGAGACGUAAACGUACGAAGAAGUUAGACGGCGNGGAGGACGNGCGACGGACGACGACGAGGGAGGAGG